AUGAAGAGAAAAGCAGGGCCAAACACCAUUAAGAUUAAUGCUUUUUUUAAGCCCCUUGCUUCAAGUUCUCAACCUACUGAAAUUGUUAAUGAGGCGGAUGUGCAAUAUACAAAUCCAAGUCCAGUUAACGCUUCUGAUCAGGAAAUGCCGGACGUGGUAAAUGUUGCAGAACAAACAGAAGUUAUAACCACACCUUAUCAGAGAGACCCCGGUAAACGUUGUCAAAUUUGGGAGCUCCCACCGGACAAGCAAGAUGAUGCUCGGCAUUUUUAUAUAUCUAAGGGAGCAUAUCGACCAGAGUUGGAAGAAUACCCAUUUGAUGAAAAGUCUAAACACCGUCGUCGAUUUCAGAAAGAUUGGUACACAAAUUUCUGGUGGCUUGAGUAUUCAACACACACUGAUAGCGCAUAUUGUUUGCCGUGCUUUCUCUUCUCCAAAAAACCUGUUGCGAGAUGUGGGUCUGAUACAUUCUCGGUCAAGGGUUUUAGAAACUGGAAAAAGGUUAACGAUGGAAAAGCAUGUGCUUUUUUAACUCAUGUUGGGGGCCCGGACUCUGCUCACAACUAUUCCGUUCGGUGCUACGAAGAUCUCAAGACCAGUGUGGCUCAUAUCGACAAGGCGAUGGAAAAGCGAAAUGAGAAAGUAGAAAGUAAUGCGAGAUUGAGGCUUAAGACUACCAUCGAUGCCAUGAGGUGGCUGAUAUUCCAAGCUUGUUCUUUUAGAGGUCAUGAUGAAUCUGCGGGGUCUAAGAACCAUGGAAAUUUUCUUGAAAUGGUUAAGAUUCUCGCUUCGUACAAUAAGGAUGUCGCAGGAGUUGUUCUGGAAAAUGCUCCAGGUAAUGCAAAGUAUACAUCCGGAGAAGUUCAGAAAGAGAUUGUUGGCAUACUUGCUCUAGAAGUGCAAAAAGCAAUUAGAGAAGAAAUAGGUAAUGCCAAGUUUUGUAUAAUGGUUGAUGAAGCUCGGGAUGAAUCAAAAAAAGAACAAAUGGCAGUUGUUCUUCGGUUUGCCAACAAAGAAGCAGAAAUAAUUGAGCGUUUCCUUGAUCUAGUUCAUGUUAAUGACACUGCUGCCUUAACUUUGAAAAAUGCAAUCUGUACUGUACUGUCAGAUAAUAACUUGAAUGUACAAGACAUCAGGGGCCAAGCAUAUGAUGGUGCAAGUAAUAUGAGAGGGGAGUGGAAUGGAUUGAAGGCUCUUAUUCUCCGUGAGUGUCCGUAUGCCUACUAUAUUCAUUGUAUGGCUCGUCAAUUACAAUUGGCGCUUGUUGCUGCAUCACGAGAGGUACAUGAGGUACAUAACUUCUUCCAGAAUGCAAAUUUUGUAAUAAAUGUUGUUAGUGCUUCUACAAAGCGGAGCGAUGAGCUACUAGCGAACCAAGCGGAGGAAAUUGCUCGUGAAAUUGAGUUGGGAGAGCUUGAUACAGGCAGAGGGCAAAACCAAAUAGGAACCUUACAGAGACCAGGAGACACAAGAUGGAGUUCACACUAUAAGUCCAUACAGAGCUUAAAGAAGAUGUUUGCUGCUACAGUUGCUGUCUUAAGAGGUAUAGCAAGUGACCGUUCAGUCUCAAAAUAUUCUCGUGGAGAUGCCGUUGGAUCCCUUAAAAUUGUCAUAUCAUUUGAUUUCGUGUUCAUUCUACAUCUGAUGGAAAAGAUUAUGAAGAUCACUGAUGUGUUGUGUAAGAAACUCCAAUACAAAUCUUUGGAUAUUUUAAAUGCCAUGGAUUCUGUUUCUAACACAAAGGUCCUACUUGGUGAGCUAAGGGAACAUGGUUGGGACUCUCUUUUAGAGGAGGUCAAAUCUUUUUGUGUGAAGCACGAGAUUGAUAUCCCAGAUUUGGACCGCAAGUAUGUUGAUGUUAUCAAAUCUCGAAAUAAGCAUGACAACACAACAACGCUCCACCACUACAAAGUCGAUGUUUUCAGUGUUGCAAUUGAUCAACAACUGAGUGAACUAAAUGAUCGAUUCAGUACACAAGCAACUGAGCUCCUUACUCUCUGUUCAUCAUUGGAUCCAAGGCAUGAAUCUUUUGAUAUCCCAAAGAUAAGCACUCUUGCAGAAAAAUUAUAUCCCGCUGAUUUUUCAAGUCAAGAAUUAGCUCAGUUGGAAAGUCAGCUACCUCAUUUUCAGCUAGAUGUGUGCAACCAUCCAGAACUGAUGACCUUGCCAUCUAUUGCUUGUUUAACAAAAGGGCUAGUUAAAACCGGAAAAGCUUCUUCAUACCCAAUGGUUGACAGGUUGCUGCAACUAGUUAUCACUCUCCCAGUCUCAACGGCAACUGCAGAGCGGGCUUUUUCGGCUAUGAAAAUUGUCAAGACACGUCUUCGAAGUAAAAUGGGAGAUGAUUUGCUUCGCCAUUGCAUGAUAAUUUACAUAGAAAAAAAUUAG
rnacentral:rRNA from 1 species